ensembl:lncRNA
CUUAUAGACAGCAAAACUGAUGACAGAUACUGAUGUAUCAAAACUAAGCAAUUUGUUUUUAAAUAACUAAUAAAAUAUUUCUUCAAAAAAAAUUGCAUUAUCAUCACAAAAACAUUAUAUACUUUAAUUCUUCAUAUGUUGUUCUUGUAUUUGUAUCCUGUGGUGAAAUAAUGUUCUUUGUUUUUGUUGAUGAAAGUCUUUAUGUGAAAAUGUCUCUGAGGGGCCAUCAGGGGCCUCCUAAACUGGAGCGACUGGAGUCAGUCAUGAGCAAGGUCUCUGGCAGCUUGGACCCAGAGGAACUGGACUUAAGUGGCCAUACUGACCUCUGUGGAGAACCAAAGAACAUAUCCUUUCAAGCAAUAUACAGCUUUCUUCCAUUCAAGUCCCUGGACAGUGUCAAAUUUCUCUAAGAAGUGCCAAUCCUAGUACAAGUGACAGAAGUGGAGCGAUUCACAUCUACAAGGGUAAUAAAAAUGAAAGCACUGCAAGUGAAUCACUUGCACCUUUCUUGGUAAUACUUUAUAGUAGCUUUUACCUGUAAAUUAUUAACAACUAUUAACAAUAUUAUAUAUUGCUU